rnacentral:rRNA from 1 species
UACGUAGGGGGGCAAGCGUUGUCCGGAUUUACUGGGCGUAAAGCGCCUGUAGGCGGCCUGUCAAGUCCGGCCUGAAAGCCCCCCGACUCCAACGGGGGAGGGUGGCUGGAAACUGGCAGGCUUGAAGGCAGCAGGGGUGAGUGGAAUUCCCGGUGUAGUGGUGAAAUGCGUAGAGAUCGGGAGGAACACCCGUGGCGAAGGCGG